UUUACUUAUUUCUUCCACCUUGUAAAGAACGCCCCUCUACUCUUAUAGCCCCCUCGUCUCUUGCUUAUGGCCAUCUUCAAAAUUUUAAUGCUUGAUUCGAUGUCAUGUUCUCCUUGUUUGGAAUGUACAUCCCGGUUUGCCAUCAUUUGUUGACUUUUGAAAGGGGAUUUCUCAUUUUGAAUUUAUAAGAGAGUGGUAAAGCCAUAUGAUAAGGCUGCUAAAUGUACCAAGUAUGAUACUGAUAUUUGAAGAAACAAGCAAAAACAUUGAAGAUUACUGUCUGCCAGUUAUAAUUGAAGGAGUUCAAAGGGGAGGGAAAACUAGAUAGUCAAACAUUCUAAAGUUAUACUUGAAGGAUGUGGGGAGACCAUGUACUAUAUGCUGCAAUCAACACAAGAUAGAUUUGAUGAAAUCCACGUUCCUUCUAUAUUUUUUUAAGUCACUUUAUUUGUUUUUUGGUUAAAUAAUUUAUUUUACUAGUUGUGAUGUUAA